GCCAUAAUACCUUGACCAUUGGAAUCCUCUUGUUUCUCAGAACCUCCUCUCCUCAAUCAAGGAUCUCGAUACGAUAUUCUACAUAAGCCAUGUUCGAACGGACUAUGGUCUGCUAAUACGUGAUGAGUGAGAUGGAUUGUGGUGCUACCUCCAGAGCAUGAAGACAUAGAAUACAUCAUGUAGGCUAGAGAAUUCAAAAGGCAAAUUAAUAUGGUAAGCCACGGGCCUACGCGUUUCAAAAUCUUAAAAGGUCCGAAAAAAAGAGGACUUAGCUUCCCUCUUUU
rnacentral:lncRNA from 1 species